rnacentral:rRNA from 1 species
CCCUUAGAUGCUCUGGGCCGCACGCGCGCUACACUGAUGCAUUCAACGAGUCUAAAACCUGCUCUGAUAGGGGUGGGUAAUCUUUUGAAUGUGCAUCGUGAUUGGGAUAGAUGAUUGCAAUUUUUCAUCUUCAACGAGGAAUGCCUAGUAAACGCAAGUCAUCAGCUUGCAUUGAUUACGUCCCUGCCCUUUGUACACACCGCCCGUCGCUCCUACCGAUUGAAUGAUCCGAUGAAUAUCAUGGAUUGAGGAUUAUAGCAGGUUCGCCUGUCUUGAUCUUCGAGAAGUGAAGUAAAUCUUAUCAUUUAGAGGAAGGAGAAGUCGUAACA